rnacentral:rRNA from 1 species
GACGAACGCUGGCGGUGUGCUUAACACAUGCAAGUGGUGCGACGAACCAGAGCUUGCUCUGGGGCAAAGCCGCGAACGGGUGAGUAACACGUGGGUAAUCUACCCCGAUGACCGGGACAACCCGAGGAAACUCGGGCUAAUACCGGAUGUGGUGCGGAGACAUAAGUCUCUUCACUAAAGGUAGCUUCAGCUUCCGCAUUGGGAGGGGCCCGCGGCCCAUUAGCUUGUUGGUGGGGUCAAGGCCUACCAAGGCAACGAUGGGUAGCUGGUCUGAGAGGACGAUCAGCCACACUGGGACUGAGACACGGCCCAGACUCCUACGGGAGGCAGCAGUGGGGAAUCUUGCGCAAUGCGCGAAAGCGUGACGCAGCAACACCGCGUGAGGGAAGAAGGCCUUAGGGUUGUAAACCUCUUUCAGAUGGGACGAAGGUUCUCCGGUGAAUAGCCGAGAGGAUUGACGGUACCGUCAGAAGAAGCUCCGGCUAACUACGUG